AGAGUUUGAUCCUGGCUCAGGACGAACGCUGGCGGCGUGCUUAAUACAUGCAAGUCGAGCGGUGCUUCUUCGGAAGCGCAGCGGCGGACGGGUGAGGAACACGUGAGUAACCGGGCAUCCAGUGGGGGAUAUCGGGCCGAAAGGCGCGGCAAUCCCGCAUACGUCGCAGGCCGUCAAGGUCUGCGGGAAAGGCCUUCGGGUCGCUGGAUGGGGGGCUCGCGGCCCAUUAGCUAGUUGGGGGGGUAAUGGCCUCCCAAGGCGACGAUGGGUAGCCGGCCUGAGAGGGUGAUCGGCCACACUGGGACUGAGACACGGCCCAGACUCCUACGGGAGGCAGCAGUAGGGAAUCUUCCACAAUGGGCGCAAGCCUGAUGGAGCAACGCCGCGUGAGUGAAGACGGCCUUCGGGUUGUAAAGCUCUGUCUGUCGGGACGAGGACCCGGGUGUAAACCCGGGGGGGACGGUACCGGCGGAGGAAGCCCCUGCAAACUACGUGCCAGCAGCCGCGGUAAGACGUAGGGGGCAAGCGUUGUCCGGAAUUACUGGGCGUAAAGGGCGUGUAGGCGGUUUGGCACGUAGCGGUUUUCAGCCGCCGGCUCACCCGGCGGAGGGCGGCUAAACGACCAGACUUGAGGGCAGGAGAGGUGCACGGAAUUCCUGGUGUAGCGGUGGAAUGCGCAGAUAUCAGGAGGAACACCGGUGGCGAAGGCGGGUCUCUGGGCAGUAACUGACGCUGAGGAGCGAAAGCGUGGGGAGCGAACAGGAUUAGAUACCCUGGUAGUCC
rnacentral:rRNA from 1 species